UGGGGAAUAUUGGACAAUGGGCGAAAGCCUGAUCCAGCAAUGCCGCGUGAGUGAUGAAGGCCUUAGGGUUGUAAAGCUCUUUUACCCGGGAAGAUAAUGACUGUACCGGGAGAAUAAGCCCCGGCUAACUCCGUGCCAGCAGCCGCGGUAAUACGGAGGGGGCUAGCGUUGUUCGGAAUUACUGGGCGUAAAGCGCACGUAGGCGGCUUUGCAAGUUAGAGGUGAAAGCCCGG
rnacentral:rRNA from 1 species